GACGAACGCUGGCGGCGUGCUUAACACAUGCAAGUCGUACGGUAAGGCCCUUUCGGGGGUACACGAGUGGCGAACGGGUGAGUAACACGUGAGUAACCUGCCCACAACUUUGGGAUAACGCUAGGAAACUGGUGCUAAUACUGGAUAUGUGCUCCUGCUGCAUGGUGGGGGUUGGAAAGCUCCGGCGGUUGUGGAUGGACUCGCGGCCUAUCAGCUUGUUGGUGGGGUAGUGGCCUACCAAGGCGGCGACGGGUAGCCGGCCUGAGAGGGUGACCGGCCACAUUGGGACUGAGAUACGGCCCAGACUCCUACGGGAGGCAGCAGUGGGGGAAUAUUGCACAAUGGGCGCAAGCCUGAUGCAGCAACGCCGCGUGCGGGAUGACGGCCUUCGGGUUGUAAACCGCUUUCAGCAGGGACGAAGCUUUUUGUGACGGUACCUGCAGAAGAAGCACCGGCUAACUACGUG
rnacentral:rRNA from 1 species